GACUCAUCGAACCACCUAAUAGCUGGUUUCCUCCGAAGUUUCCCUCAGGAUAGCUGUAAUGCAUUUAGUUAAGGGGAGUAGAGAUAUGGGUAGAGGUGCAGGGAGCUUCGGGUUCUCAACUUAUUUCCAAACUUCGAACCUCCUUGUUAGGCAUUUACCUAACUGGAAAUGCUUAAAUGAAUUAGCGUUACAAGUGGGCUCUGACCGGUAAGCGGUCAUGGCGAAAUGGGAUGAACCAUACGUCUGAAUAAGGUGCCGAAAUGUACUAUCACUGAUACCAUAAAGGGAGUCCAUGUAUUUAGACAGCAGGUCGGUGCCCCUAAAAGCAGGUAUCCGCUAAAGAGUGUGUUAAAACUCACCUGCCGAAUACUAGGGCCCCGAAAAUGAAUGGCGCAUAUAGUACUACCGAUCUCAGACAUCAGUUCUAUUGAACUGAGAGUAGGGGGAUGUGGACAUUUUUGUGAAGGUGCAAUGUGAGUUGGACUGGAAGAAUGUCUAUUACAGAUCCUAAUUGAAGUAGCGAUUAUCCAGGCUUGUAUCCUGGGGGCUGAUGAGGAGUAGGGUUUCUGGACAACUUAAACAGAUCCAGAGUUAGUCGAUCCUAAUCUCAAUAAUGGGAGAAAGGGAGUACAGUUGAUAUUCUGUAACUGACAACAGUUCGCGGCAACGCAUACUAUUUUUCUCCGCCAAUCUUAUACCGUUGGUAGGGAUCUCUUUCCUACAUGACAGUACUAAUACCCAGGGAAACUGGUCAUCAGGCGAACUGCGGCGUUCUGCUGGCAAAACAUAGCUUCGGUUAUGUCAAUGGCUAUUGGAUUGGUCCAUGAAGCGAAAAAUAGUUUACUGUGUCACUCGUACCGAUAACCGCAUCAGGUCUUCUAGGUAAGUAGCCUAUGGCCAUUGAGGCAUGAUAGUUCAGGGAAUUCGGCCAAUUAGAGCUGUAACUUCGGGAUAAAGCUUGGCUCUGAUGAAAAUCAGAACCGAUUGUUACGCGGAGAGCCCAACUGUUUAAUAAAAACGUAGUGUCGCGCUGUGGUAGUAUAGCCAGUGAACGCGACAUGAAUCCUGCUCAGUGCUGUGUCUGUUAAUAUGGUUCAAGCCAACGAAGCACCGGUAAAUAGCUGGGGUAACUAUGACUCUUAUCAAAGUAGCGAAAUACC
rnacentral:ncRNA from 2 species